rnacentral:rRNA from 1 species
UACGUAGGGCGCAAGCGUUGUCCGGAAUUAUUGGGCGUAAAGAGCUCGUAGGCGGUUUGUCGCGUCUGCUGUGAAAACCUGAGGCUCAACCUUGGGCUUGCAGUGGGUACGGGCAGACUAGAGUUCGGCAGGGGAGACUGGAAUUCCUGGUGUAGCGGUGAAAUGCGCAGAUAUCAGGAGGAACACCGGGUGGCGAAGGCGGGUCUCUGGGCCGAUACUGACGCUGGAGGCACGAAAGCGUGGGGAGCAAACAGG